rnacentral:tRNA from 1 species
GGAGUGGCUCAGUUGGUAGAGCAGCUGAUUCGUAAUCAGCAGGUCGUGGGUUCGAGUCCCAUCUUCA